UGGGGAAUUUUGGACAAUGGGCGAAAGCCUGAUCCAGCAAUGCCGCGUGUGUGAAGAAGGCCUUCGGGUUGUAAAGCACUUUUGUCCGGAAAGAAAUCCUUGGCUCUAAUACAGUCGGGGGAUGACGGUACCGGAAGAAUAAGCACCGGCUAACUACGUGCCAGCAGCCGCGGUAAUACGUAGGGUGCAAGCGUUAAUCGGAAUUACUGGGCGUAAAGCGUGCGCAGGCGGUUUGCUAAGACCGAUGUGAAAUCCCCGGGCUCAACCUGGGAACUGCAUUGGUGACUGGCAGGCUAGAGUAUGGCAGAGGGGGGUAGAAUUCCACGUGUAGCAGUGAAAUGCGUAGAGAUGUGGAGGAAUACCGAUGGCGAAGGCAGCCCCCUGGGCCAAUACUGACGCUCAUGCACGAAAGCGUGGGGAGCAAACAGGAUUAGAUACCCUGGUAGUCCAGCGCCCUAAACGAUGUCAACUAGUUGUUGGGGACUUCAUUUCCUUAGUAACGUAGCUAACGCGUGAAGUUGACCGCCUGGGGAGUACGGUCGC
rnacentral:rRNA from 1 species